GUUCUGAUUUGACUCAAGCAAGAUACAAAUACAUGUAAUAUGGUAUUGUCAAAUAGAAAUAUUAAUAAGAUCUUAAUAAAAACAUAAACCUUAUAAAUAACCACACAAGAUGCAAUUCUGACAAUAAAUAUGACAUAAAGCCAGAAUAUUAAAAAAAAAGCUAAAGUAACUGUCGAAGAGCUGGAACUAAAGCAAAACCAAAUCAGGACAAAAAAAAAUCAGAGAAAUAAAAAAACAUAACGAAAACAUCAACAUGUCACGAUAUAGAAAAUGAAUGGAAAUGGG
rnacentral:lncRNA from 1 species